rnacentral:lncRNA from 1 species
GAGACAAGUGUGUCAGUGUUGGAGGAACAAGAUUGGACAGAGUGGGCUGGAGGUGUAAAGGUACCCGUGUUGGGUCUUCAAGGCAAAACUGCGGCCCGUUUUAUACCCAUUUAUAUGCAUGCCGUAACUCUCGCUUGGUCCAGCCCACUAAUCGUGCGUGGGUGCUGCCGAAAAUAAGCUAACCCUUGUAUUUCUCAAAAAAAAAAUAGCUGACCCUUGUAGGACUGAUUGUGUCUCGUCCGCAGUGAGACACAACCACUUACAACGUGUUUGGUUGGGGGUAAUUAGAGCCAAGGAAUGAGAAUUGAAGGGGCAUGAGAUUUCAAAUCUAUUGUUUGGUUGGAGGAUUGAGAAUUCACAAGAGAAGAGGCAUGGGACUUGAGACUCCAGCUCCCACCGUUUUAUUAACAGGGGAGGGGAUGGGAGUUGGAAGGGAAUUGUUUAAGUGAGUCAAUCUUAAUCGUUCAUCCUAACUUCCCAUGUCUAGUCCAAUGUCAAUUCCCAUGAACCAAACAAGGAAGUAUAAUUUCUUCUCAAAUUCUCAGACAUAACUCCUAUCACGCACCAAACAGAGGAUUGGGAAUAAAACGACUUAUCCCAUGUCUAAUCUCGGCCCAACUCCCUACUCUAAACUCCCAUUCCCCUUCCCUUAAUAUUUCCAAACACGCUCUUACGCCUAAUGAGAGUUGCUAAAAAAACGCCUAAUGAGAGAAAUUUGGAACCACAACCGGCUACCUAGACCUGAGAUGAUGAAACCCUAUGGAUGUAGAGGUAAUAACACCAGUGGUGCUUAAACUUGCCAUGGAUGUUCACUUUGGUGCCUGAACUUGAAAAAUACACCGAAUUGGUUCUAAAACUUGGUAGCCUGGUGCAAAUACGGUUCAAAUCAUGUACAUAUAUGUAUGCAUUUGUUGACUAGACAUGCCACCGUGGAGGGGGCCCCACCUGCAGUGCUGGGACAGACUAACUUGGAAGUGCAUGUCUGAAUGACCAUCGGGUCCUACCUAUCAGUGCACACAACAAUAAAUAAACAAAAUUAACUAGCGGCUAGGAUUUGAACUUGAAACAUCACAAUAAUAAAUAGCAGCUAGGAUUUGAACUUGAAACAUCACGCAGUCAAAAGGCUAGGCCAACCACUUCACCCAGCACAUGACUUGUUCACAAUAUGCAUCCCUAUGCUUUAUCAACCAGCAUGAGUCGUGGACUUAAAUGGGCUGCUCUCACGCCCAUUUUCCAUGUGUUAUUUUCUUUUUAUUAGAAAUUACACAAAUAUUCAAGUAGUAUAUAAAGUGUCCAUGCUUUGAGGACAUGUAUUUCUAGUUUUAAAACAUGUUCUCAUAUUUUAAUAAAGUUUAUGUGUUUGUCAAAAGAUAUAUUUUCAAAUAAAAAUAAAUUUAAAGAUAUUGAGGGAAAAAAUAAUGUCCUAGUGUGCCCCCAGGGUCAUAGAUCCUCGAGUGAAUAGUUUCAAAGUAUACAUACAUUUUUAUAAUUAAAAUGCAUGUAAAUAUUUGUGAAAAUUACAUUAACAUUUUUAGAAGUAAGCUAUUUUUGUCUGCAUAUUAUUUAUAGGACAAGAACAUUCAAAUUUAUUUUUAGUACUAUUAAAGUAAUUUAAAUAUAUUUUACAAAUUCCAAAAAAAUAAGAAAACUCAUAUGUGGAAGCGCCACAUAAAAAAUCCUAACAUUCUAAAGAAGGACCACGUGAAUAUUAUUGGAAAAUAUGAAGAUUGUUAAAAUUAAUUUAACAUUUUUAAAAUAUUGAAAUUAUUUUAUUAAAUAUGUGAAUGCUUUAAAAAUAUUCAAAGAUUAUAAAAAUUCUUAAGUAAUAUUUAAUUUGGUGAAUAUUUAAAACUAACAUUUAUUUAUUAUUUUUAUUGUAGUUUCCAUGUUUUUAUAAUUUCUAAAAAAAAGGAAAACCAACUAACAUGAGAAAAAUGGGCCGCACUGCGUCCAGCCCAUUUAACUGCACAGGUGUAUUAGUGCUGAUAAAGUGUAUUGAUGCAAAGAGGACAGUAAUAUUUCUGGACAACGUGGUUAGCAUAAGUCUUGUCUUGCUCGAGGUCUCCAGUUCGAGUCACGCACCAUGUUUUUUUUUGUGCACUGUCAGGUGGGACCAGACGGUCAUCUUGUAAGUCUAUCUUUUCCUACACAUCAGGUGGACCCCUCCCAUGCUGACAUGUCUAUUCAGCCACACGGUCAUCUUGUAAGUCUAUCUUUUCCUACACAUCAGGUGGACCCCUCCCAUGCUGACAUGUCUAUUCAGCCACACAUACGUAUCUGUACAUGAUAUGAACUGUAUUUGAAUCAUACUGCCAAGUUUUAGAACCAGUUCAUUGUAUUUUUUAAGUUUAGGCAUCAAAGUGAACAUCCAUGGCAAGUUUAAGCACCACUGAUGUUAUUACCUCUAUGGAUGUAUUGCUCCAAACCGGCCUCGUUUUGUUUCUAAGUUGAUUGAGCCCACGUCUGCCACAUGGAUUAGAGCACGGGUUGAGGAGGUAUUUUAUUCUCAUGGAUGUUUUGGUCAUAAUGAGUAUAUCACAGUGUACAAGAAAUAUUAGCGAUUGUUGGGUGUGAAAUUUUUAAGAAGUAUAGCGUAUAAAAUGAUGAUAGCAACCAAAUUGCGAAGAGAAGUCUGGCUAAAAAGGAAUGCCAGAUUGUCUAAUUUGUGGGACAGGAGGAAGCAUCUUGGAAAUCUUUAUGAAAAACACAAGUAUCCAACAAGAUUAGAAUGUUUUUAUGAAGAUCGGCCAAGCAUUCUUUACCCGCGGAAGAUGUGCGCUGUCAUUGUGACAUGCCAACGAAGAGUACAUGUGGGGCUAUGUGGUAUGACUAGUGGUGACACUCCUAAAUAGAAUGUUUGAUGGGGUUUGCUCGCUGGCUCGCCGUCGCCGCCGUCACGCCGCCUUGGGCUUGGCCAGUGGAGACAGUUGAACGGCACGGUGUAGUGUGUCUUUUUUCUUUCUUUUUUUGAGGAAACAGUGCAGUGUGUUAGUGUUGAUUUUUUUUCUUUUUGAUAAGACAAGUUUUUUUAGGGGUUUUUGAUGAGAAAAGAUUUUUUUGUGUGCUAAUUUUGAUGAGAAAAGAUUUUUUUUUCAGACAUUUUGACGACACGAGUGUGUCAGUGUUGGCGGUACAAGAGAUUGGACAGAGUGGGCUGGAGGUGUAAAGGUACCCGUGUUGGGUCUUCAAGGCAAAACUGCGGCCCGUUUACUACACCGUAACUCUCGCUUGGUCCGGCACACUAAUCGUGCGUGGGUGCUGCCGAAAAUAAGCUUCUAGUAUCUCUUUUGUCUAUAAAAAAUCUUUAAAAAGUUUUGUGGCAUUUGGAUUUAUUUGGUACUGAUAUUCUGAAAAACAAAAAAUUGACAAAAAA